ensembl:lncRNA
CUUCUGUAUAUUUCACAAAGAUGUUGAAAAAUUUCACUUGUACAUAUUUUGUAAUGUAAAAAUAUUCCAUUUAUGAAUUAUCUUCUAAAGCAGAUAAGCUUCUAUACUGAAUGAAGAAUACUGAAUAUUCCUGAAAUAUUGCAUAUUGUAAUGAUUAAUACAAGGUUUGCAAUUAUUGUGAUUUAUAAGAAAUAUAUAUUUGGUCAUUCAGAUGACCAAAAUUUAUUUCUCAUAUAUAUUUGGUCUUCAUCCACAGAUCCUGGCUCACAGUUCCCAAACCUUUGGGAAUUUCCUGAGUGAUAAGAGCAGUGGGAACAUUUUUUAUUAUAUUUGGUCUCUUGUCCUCAGUUCCUGAAAAAAUACUUCAGAGCCAUAAAGGUGAAAUGAGCAUCUCAUUAUUCAUAACAGCCCCUUUCCACUACAGCUGGGUUUAUGUUAAUGAGGUGACUUUUGGAAAGCACCUGAGGAUGGGGCCUGGUUGUCAGGGGCAUCAACCAUGGUUAGAGGAUUGGAACUUUCACUUCCACCCUGUGAUUUCCAGGAGGCGAGAGGGGCUGGAGGUCGAAUCAGUCACCAAUGGCCAAUGAUUUAAUCAGUCAUGCCUGUGUAACGAAGCCGCCAUGAAAUCCCAAAAGGAGGGCUUUGGAGAGCUUUCAGGCUUAUUUGGGAUUUCUAACUCUUUUGGGGUGAAUUUUGAAGCUGACUUCUCACAGUUCCAGAAGCUGGAAGUCUGACAUCAGGUGCCGGCAUAAUUGGGUUCUGGUGAGAACCCUCUUCCAGGUUGCAUACUGCUGACUUCUCAUUGUACUCUCACAUGGCGGAAGGGGGUGAGGGAGUUCUUUGGGGUUCAUUUUUAAGGGGACUGAUCCCAUUCAUGAGGGCUCCAUCCUCCUAUUUCCCAAAGGCCCCACUUCCAAGCACCAUCAUGUUGGGGAUUAGGUUUCAACAUAUGAAUUUGCGGGAGCACCCAAAAAUUCAGUCCAUUGCUAUGACCUUAUAAAUCUAAUAUCCCUGCCAUCUGAUGGUGUGGUUCACAGUUCUUAAUCUUGGUUUCUUAGUUUACUAGUUCAAAUUCUUGAGGAGGAAUGUGGUGGGGUCAAGUGGUUCCAACAUGGCAGUCUAAAUCACACAGAGACUGAGAACUUUUCCCAGAAAGGGAAGGUAGUCAACCAAACCUUUCCAUUGUGCACCUCCCAUUCAAUCCUCGGAUUGUCUCAGUGUUCCCUCCAGAGGGUUAAGGCACUGUAGGUAUUACUGUCUGCCUUUCUCCUGCCAGGCUCUGCUGUAGGCAAGAGGCACCUGCACUGGCAAGCUCAGUCCCACUCGUUUCUGGAAUCAAUCUACACAGUGUUGAUAGUACGUUGAGUGCCCUGUGUCUGCCAGUGGGUGGGGUCUAGAAAUUAGUCUGGCAGCCAUAAGCAGCAAGUGUCUACCAUGCUGGUCUCCCCACUACCUCUCACUAGGUCUUUCUUUUUAAAUUGAGAUAUACUUGACAUAUAACGUAUUAGUUUCAGAUGUACAACAUAAAGAUUUGAUUUUUAUAUAUUGCAAAAUGAUCACCACAAUAAGUCUAGUUAACAUCCAUCACCAUAUGUGGUUACCAAGUAUUUUUCUUGUGAUGAGAACUUUCAAGAUUUACUCUUAGCAACUUUCAAAUAUACAAUAUUUUUAACUAGUCACCGUGCUAUACACUGCAUCCCCAGGACUUAUUUAUUUCCUAGGUAGAAGGUUAUACCUUUUGACCCUCUUCACCCGUUUUGCCCUUGCCAUGCUCCCUGCCCGCCUCUGCCAACAACCAAGGUUUCCCCUGUAUCUAUGAGUUUGGGGUUAGCUUUUGUUUGUUUUAGAUUCCGUCUAUCAGUGAAAUCAUACAGUAUUUGUCUUACUCUAGCUGACAUUUCACUUAGCCUCCGGCCCUCAAGGUCCAUCCAUGUUGUCACAAAUGGAAAAACCUGCGAAGCCCAGGCUGUUGAAGUGGAGCACAUGCACUUAACCACUAUGCCACCGGGCUGGCUCCUCAUUUAUUCCAUUUUUCUUGUUUUUCUUUUCUUUUUUCCCCCUACUGGUUUAGAAGAUACGCACUUUAUUUCAUAAAUUUAGUAGUUCCC